UACGGAGGGGGCUAGCGUUGUUCGGAAUUACUGGGCGUAAAGCGCACGUAGGCGGCUUUGUAGGUUGGGGGUGAAAGCCUGGAGCUCAACUCCAGAAUUGCCUUUAAGACUGCAUCGCUUGAAUCCGAGAGAGGUGAGUGGAAUUCCGAGUGUAGAGGUGAAAUUCGUAGAUAUUCGGAAGAACACCAGUGGCGAAGGCGGCUCACUGGCUCGGUAUUGACGCUGAGGCACGAAAGCGUGGGGAGCAAACAGG
rnacentral:rRNA from 1 species